AGAUCUUCUUAGAAAAUAUCUUUUCUUUGUUCUAAAGUUCCUAUUAUCUCUCCUCUGGGGUUUGUAAUAUUUUUUAUUUUUAUGCCUAUUUUCUCCGUAUGUUAAUGGUAUUUGAACAAUAUUAUUGCAAAAAUUGUAGUCUGCUUUUUUCAUAGAUCUUUGGGCUUGUAUAUCCAUACAUACCUUUCUUAGUUGCUUAAAAACAAAAUUAAUGGCCUGAGAUAUAUUUGAAACCGAACCAUCUGUUUGUUUCUUAUAUUCUUCAAAUAUUAUAGAUCCUAAAGGGUCAGGUAAUUUGUUAAAAUAUCUUUCUACUACCCCUUUAUUAAAACCUUGUUUAGCGGUGGUAGCAUUAUAUAAAUAAUGCUGAGAGAAUUCUUUUAUACCUUUCCAACUUGUUAACGUUAAUUUUUCUAUUUCUCGCAACCUCUCAUUCUGCAAUGUGGUAUCUCCUAAAUCUGGGUCUUCUGCUAUGACUAUAAGUGAUAUAAUGUUAGCGAAGUUAUGGGGAUUACUUCCAGCUGCUUUUAAUUCUUCAUAUUGACUAGGAAAUGUUUCUACCCAUUGUUCCCAUAAAACUUUUACAGAUUCUCCUAAAAAGGUUUCAAGAUAGGUUAUCAUAUCUUCCACCUUAUUACCUAUGCUAUGCUGAUUUUGUAUAUAUUUUUGAACUAUUAAACCUUUCCAUAUGCUAAUUAUAUUAGGCCAGUCUAUUGGGUCAUGGGCUGCUAGAUUUGAUAUUGCACCCUCAUUCUUAUAAUUUUGAAAUUGUACUGGUUUUUCAAAAUCUCUUCUUUUAGUACCCAUAUAUCUAUAUUGUUCAGGGAUGUAUGUUGGUUGGAAAUCAUCUUUUUCUGGAGGCCAUGUUCCGGCUGCUCUUCUUGGUCUUUCUCUCUCUCCUUCUCUUUUUACUGAAGUAUCACCGUAUGUCCUUCUUCUUUUGUUAUUCAUUUCUACUUCCAUAGCUUCCAUUGCAUUUUCUAAAUUGUGUAUUCCUACAUCAUCUAGAGAGUUUAUAAAGUCACUGUUAUCUUCAGAUCCAUCAAAAACUUCAUCCUCUUUAAGCAUAUCUUUUAUCGAUUCUUCUUCUUCUUCAUAACUUUCAGUUAGUAAUUUAUUAUUUAUGUCCCACUGCUCCUCUUCACCUACAUCUUUAUUUUUAUGGCUCUGGUCUGUAUUAUUGGCUUUACUACUACCAACCUUAUUUUCUUUUAUCAUUAUGUUUUUAUUUAGUCUGAUUGAACUACCAAUGACAGGCUUCUUCUCAUUUCUUAAUCUUUUUAAUCUUGCAAUCUCUCUAAUGAAAAACAAUUCCUUUUCUCUUAUCUUAGGCCAAUCUUUUGUCAUAGAAUUAUUAUAUUCCCAUUCUAUACGUUUCAAUUUUCCUUCGUAAUGAAUUAUUUCAUUGUUUAAAUCUGCCUUUUCCAUGUAUUCAGUUACGCCACUAUUUUUAUUUUCAUUAAACUCUGAUUCAGAAGCAAAAGAUUCAGUAUCAUCUAUGGUUUCAGAUUUAUAAUUUGUGAAUCUAAUGCUGCUGGUACCUUCGCAGUUUUGGUAACUUAUGUAGUUAUUAGGUUGCUUUAAUUCCUUCUUUUCAAUUAGCUCGCUUAUUUUCCACUCUUCUCCAGCUCUUUCUUCAGAACUGAUUUUAAGAGGACUCAUGAAUUUUAUACCUUUCGAUUGCAUGCUUUCAAUUACAUCGUCUACAUUUACUCUAUAUUUAGAGCUGCUUUUAUUAGUUAGUCUUCCUAUAAACUCUAUACUUACUAAUAGAUUUGUACCUUUAAAUUCUUCAUAACCUUUAGUUUGGAACCCAAGACUCAUCUUAUCGAUAAAUUCCUUCACAGGCAUCAUUAAGUCUGGAGCUAUAUAGGUUAUUAGUCUGUUUUCAUUCAUAUCUCCUUCCAUAAAGCCUAAUGAAGCUUUAUCUACUGAUCCCCAUCUUUUGUCUAAUAAUGUUAUUAACACCUUUGCUCCUAAUUUCUUUCUUGUCAUUCCUUUGACUCCUAUGAUAUACAUACCUUGAUGAAUAUAUUUAUACCCACAAUAUUUGAGUUCAGUUUCAAUAUUCUUACUCACAAUUCUUAAUUCUACUGGAUGUGUUACCACACUUAACUCCACUUCUCUGGAUAUUCUAUAUAAUCCACCUCUCCCUUCAAACAAACCCAUGUGGUAUACCUGCUGCGGUUUUAUUUUUCUCAAUGUAUCUUUUUGAUACCUUUCCAGGUCUCUUUCUAAGUCUAUAACUUCUUCUAAACUAUCGAUAUCAUCAGCCUUGCUGCAUGACAUCCUAUGCAUCAUUGUUAGCGGCUUUGAUUCUUGUCUUAUUAAUUGGAGGUUUCUGUCUCUUCUAAUGAAGCUUUUAGAUAAGUCCAUUUUUCUGAAUUAAUAUUCCUUGGUGAUGCAAUUAUUUCAGAUGAUGCUAACACAAUAUCUUUGUUACUUUGUUCACUAUUUAGCUUAUCUAAAAUCUGAAUUAAUAACUGCAGGAUUGUAUUGUUUUGUCUUAUUAUUAUUUUUGAGUCUUCCUUUGGAGAAUCGUGGUCAGAAAAGCCAAUCGACGGCGUUAAAUAUUUUUCUACUUCUUUUAAGGCUUGGCUAUAUUCAGUCAUACAAAUUACGAGAGGAUCAAAGUUUUUACUUCUUGUACUAGUCUUUUAAUUUCAGUUAUAUCUUGUCUUGUUUCAGUGCUUGGUAAAGAGUCUUUAUUUUUAUUUAGACAGUGCCCUAUGCCUUUUCCAAUGGAUAACACUUCUUCUUUAAUGUAAUCGUUAUUCUUACAAACUAUACUUUGUUUUGUUUUGGCUUCUUCUAGCUUAUGCAGAACUAUAUCAAUUUUAUUAUUCAAACUAUAGUAUUUUUCUGCAAGUUUUUGGUAUUCUUUAAAUAUAUUAUCAAAUUUUUUGUCUAGAUUAUCUUGCCUUUUUCCCCAAGAUAUAAAGAAAUUAUAUACUAAAUCAACAACUGUAUUUAGCUGACUAUGAGUAGAAUGCCAAAUAUGCUCUUCUGAGGGAUUGACUCUGCACCUUAUCUCAAUAUUUUCUUUAGUAUGUAUAACUUUACCUGCACAAACUUCUAAGUCUAGAUACUUUAAUCUUUCAAUGAUUACGACCUGACUCUGAUACCACGAAUAUUAUGUAUAAAUAGAUAUUAGAUACGUUAAUAUUCAAAUUAUUUCGGCUAAUAUUAGGUUAUAUGGUAAAUUAUGAUUAUCUUUUGCAGGAUCUUAUAAGGCUGGUGAGGCCAACGGAACUACCGACGGUUUUCGCAGUGAUGUAAUAAUCCUACUCAGUACUCACCGUAUUUAUUACUAUAUUGCUUCAGGAGUAGCUAAGUUUAUUUCCCUAAGCGUCUUUAGUCAGGUUUAUAUGGGUGAUUUCUUAUCGUCUUCCCAGGCAGUUCCACCCGAAGGGAACACUUCUCUACGGUUACAAGGUUCUCAUUUCAACGCCACACACACACGGCUUAACAGAGAACUACACGCAGAGGUUUCUCCUAUAGGAUCCCUAGCAUAAGCACCCACCCGUAUAAACACGCUAAAAAGACCGAGGGAAAAACAAAACUACUUCAUUUCACAAUAUAGCUUACAUACGGUUUUCCCUUUCGGGAACCCCCGAAGGGUUCACACAAAGAUAAAGAAAUUACCUUACUACCUUCCCAGUCUUAUGUUACAAAUGCCUUGAUUAUACAGGCUUUAUUACAGUGGGAAGUGGUACUACUACUACUAGAAAGCAGAUAGUUUUCUGGCUAACUGCCCUGAACUACUUGCUGUUCUGAAGGCUUGUGUUGUGCUCGAUGGUUGUGUGUGCUCCAAUGCUGCAAAGAGCCUCCUUAUAUAGGCACCAUGGCUGGCUCAAAUAGUGCUCCCUUGCAUUAUUUACCUCACCUUUCUCCAUGUCCAUGAUGCAUCUCCUUUAUAGGUCUUUAUAGGUCCUAGGCUUCUUUUAUAGCCUUUGGAUGCAUGCAUGCAUGGUGAUAAGGGGUCUUUUGGCCUGCCACUUCUCUUUGGUUGCAUACGAACGUGGCUUCCUUCAUCUUGGGAGUAGUCUUGUGUUUUAAUGAUAGCGUCUACGACACACUGCAGCCUUACUGUCUGCUUCCUUGACUAUUCUUCGUCUGCACACCAUAAAUCAUAGGAUCCCAUGCAUUUGUGAUCUUGGAUGCUGAUGAUGGGUCUUAUAUGCCUAAUACAUGCUAACGAUGGCUCUUAAGAUUUAAUAUUUUUCAUUAUUUUUGAUUAUUUAUAUUAAUUUUUUUAUUAAUAUUUUUUUUUUGAAUCAUAUUCAAAUCAAAUGAUAUUCUAUCAACUAUUCGGGGUACGUUAAUAUUCAAAUUAUUUCGGCUAAUAUUAGGUUAUAUGGUAAAUUAUGAUUAUCUUUUGCAGGAUCUUAUAAGGCUGGUGAGGCCAACGGAACUACCAACGGUUUUCGCAGUGAUGUAAUAAUCCUACUCAGUACUCACCGUAUUUAUUACUAUAUAUGUAUGGGAUGUAAAAAAAAUGAACGUCCUUGACAUUUUAGGCAUGCGCACACUGACAGCCAAACCAUAUUUACAGAAUAAUGUGGAAAAAAAGAUAUUGUUUGUACCCCUCGUCAGUGUAGUCCCUGACCGUUUCGUAUAUGGCAUCCAGGAGGCUUUGUUUUGGUGGCGGCAAAGGCUGCCAUUGUACGAUAUGUAUUUUAUCAUAUGAACGUUACAAAAAAGUUGCCAGAUUUCCAAUGAGCGUGCAUUCAAAAAACACACACCUUCGUAAGGUCAAGGUGCACGUAUAUACAAUGCAGGAAGUGGGUAGUGAUGUCGUUGAAGUUUGUGACGAGCCUGCGUUUGUUUUGUGCAUCCAUCCAUUACAAAUGAACAAUUUAAUUAUUAGACAGACAUAUUUGUUUUGAUAAAAAAAACAAACCUGCACAAGAAGACCUUAACUGUUGGUUCGGACGCAACCACGUCUGGUCGACCAGUCAACGAGACAUAAUCUCCAUGGCUAUCGGAAUUAAUUUUAAAAACAUUCGAAGGGGGGUGAAUUGCGGCUGCAAAUAGUACGCCUUUUUUCUAUGUCAGCAUGUAAAGUAGUCAACAAAAAAUCACUUACGGUACAGACGUGACGUGCAGGUCGAUUUCAGUGUUUGUCAGCCUGCAAUGGUACUAUCAGUUAUAUGAAAAAGGAACUGUGGACUGAGCAAUGAAAUACUUGUACUAGAUGAUAUUACCAGUAAGUACAUGGAACGCCUCCAGUGCAAUCGUUGAGUAUAAAAUCGGCCCGAGUAGCCCUUACCUGAAGUCCCAACAUCCUUCCUAGCAUCCUGACCUGGGUAUGUGUAUUGAGUUAGUUUUAUUUUCAUAUUAUUUACCGU
rnacentral:lncRNA from 1 species